UCCGUGGCGCAAUCCGUUAACGCGUUUGGCUGUUAACCGAAAGGUUGAUUGGUUUCGAGCCCGCAGGGCGAAA